rnacentral:lncRNA from 1 species
GACUUGUAAGAACUCAUAGGGAGAGAGGUUUGAAAGUGGGAACUCAUAGCCAAAAGUAACACUUCCUAGCACUCAACUUAACAUCCUAAAGAAACAUAACAAAUAGCAUGAGCAUUCUCCUUAUUAUACUCUAGCUUCUCUAGGCCUAUCCAUACUCUUUUUCCUCUACUCAAGUUGCAAUACUCUUUACCAACAAGUCCUUUCAAUCAGCUCUCACAUUGAUUCACACACACACACACAAGGUGAAGUCUCACAAAUGGGCACAUGAUCUCAAUCAUUUGGCUAGGCAUGCAAUGGUCUAAUAUGAAUGAAGAGAUGGGUUCAAAUGUUUUUUAUUUAAGGGUGGUUAUCACUCAAAACAAGGAGCUUGAUCAUUAUGCAAAAUUUUUCUAAGAUUAGAAGCAACUCAUGCAUACAUAGAUUCAUUCUCAUCAUUCUACCCCAUUUUGUUGUAAAUGAUCACAAGUUCUACCCUCUUUAUUAUCAUCUCAAAAUCAAUCUAAACCCCCUCACAUCACUCACCCAAUGUACAACUCUCUUUUCUUUUCAUUUGACCCACUCACUAGGGAUUUUAAUCCACUUUCCACAAGCUCUAACCCUUUUUCAUUUCCUUCCCCAACUUCUUUUUGAUCUUUUUUUUUUUUCUUUUUUUUUAUUAGGGGGAAGGUUCUUUAUUACAUGAUCAAGAGCUUCUUCUUUUUUUUUUUAUAUAUAUCCCUAGGAGCUUUAUUUUCAUAUCUCUCAUCUUUCUCACUCUCCAAACCCAAGAUAUUGAAAUUUAAAACACACAAAUCCCUCUCACAUCCCUAAAUGCUAACUCAUUGUGCUAGCAAGAGAUGAGAAUAAACCUAUGUCGCCUCCAAUACUCUCAAGAUUUUGCACAUGACAAGCUAUCAAAAGAGGCCUCACUGAUAUCUUGCAUAUUUGCAUUGUUUUAUCCAUUCAUCCAUGAGCAUUUUCAUCAUAUAGAUUAGGAUUCAGACAUGUUUAGGUUGCAUUUUGCAUACAUGAGUCUCUAUUAGGUACUGGAGUACCACAUGAGGUUAUUUGGAGCUCAAAAGAGGUGAAAAGGUGACCAUUGGACGAACCGAGCAUGGGAGCGACCUCCCGGAGCGACAUCACGAAGUCGCUGUGUCCCGCUUCUCAGAGCGACUUUCCUAAAGCGACGCCAUGAAGUCGCUCGCGUUCUCAUUACUCCGAACAGUCUUAGAUGACCCUGGAGCGACCUCUCAGAGCGACCUACUAAGGUCGCUCCCGAUCCAGAGCGACCCGUUGGAGCGACUGCACAAAGUCGCUCGCGUUUUCACGUCCGGAGACACACAACUCGCUCUCGGAGCGACCUCUCGCAGCGACCCAGCGAGGUCGCUCCCGAAGCUUGGAGCGACCUGUCCAGAGCGACAGAGAGAAGUCGCUCGCCAUCUUGGUUCCCGGAGACAAGAAAUCGCUCUCGGAGCAACCUCUCGCAGCGACCCAGCGAGGUCGCUCCCGAAGCCUGGAGCGACUUGUCGGAGCGACGAGCCGAGGUCGCUCCGCGCCUAUUAUCUGCUCGAUUUCUAUUUUACUUAAGGGCCUUUUGGUCAUUUCAUUAUGCACGUUUUACACUUUCUAAACCUAAGUUAAGUACUUUGUAAGCGAUGGGAGGAAGAUAAUCUCUUUUCUAGAGAAGAACUAGUAAAAAACCUCUUUUGAUUCAGAUUUCAUUGCUUUCAUCUUGUGUUCUUGUUGAUUUCUUAUCUAUUUCUCUACAUGGUUAAUCUGAAAUCCAAUAUGGGUUUAAGAGGAAUCAUGGAGAUUAGUGAGUAAUCACCUUUUGAAUUCAUGGGUUAGGGAGAUUAAGGGUGAUUAGGUUAGAGCUAGGAUGUUUUAGUGUAGAUCAUUCAUAUUUCCUUGCUAGUAGAGUAAUCAUAAUGCAUCUUCUGAGUUGGCCACUCAGUUGUUGAUCCUUAGGCAUUUCUCACCCGAAAGGUGUUCGAUGAAAUGCCCGAGACAACUCUCCUAGGCUUUUAGUAUACUUUGCCAAAGACAUUUGUUGUUAAAGGUACUAAGAUAGCUAAUAGACUUGUUAGUAAUGAUUGCUUUCAUAUUAUUCAACCAAAGACAUUUGAUGUUUGAGAUAUGUUAGCAAAUGAGCAUUCAUCUAGACAUAGAGCUUGCUUAGAAUUGUGUCUAGGCUUAAGGUUGAUAGUUUGAUUGAUCAUUUGCCAUCCUUAGUUCGAUACUUGAUCACCCAAGGUCUAAUCCCUAUACCCAUGAGUUCUCUUUUCCUUUAGUCAAGAAAGUAUCAUUCUGUUAUUGCUUUCUAGUUUUAGUCAUAGUUUAAAACCCAUCUAAAUCAUUGGUUGCACUUAGAUUAAGUGAGUACUUGCAUUCUCAGUGCUUUGAUAUCCCUCAGAACUGGUUCGACAAUCAUUUAUACUACAACAUUUGUCUUAGGAGCCUUGAAAACUCCUAACAUCAAAUUGGCGCCGUUGCCAAAUUCUGAGUAGAUUUGAACAUUGAGAUUUAGUCACUUGCUUGAGACUAAGUCAUUUUUAUUUUCUUUUGUUACUGAUUCUCUUUCUUCACCUCCCUUUAAUCUACAGGUGUAUGAACUUGAGGAGCAGGGGUCCAUCAAACCUAGUUCCAAUAGCUGCAGACAUCAGAGCUUUAGAGAGAGAGUGUGCUAGAAAUAGAAGAGAAGAAGAGCAACAGGCUCACUUGCAGAGAUUGAGUACUGAUAUGGGAGACAUACCUCAAAACCAACAGCGAGCAGCUCGACCCAUUGGCACUUACGACCGCCCCAACAUUCAUGGUCAUAGAUUGGGAAUCCGAGCACCCGCUGUGGCAGCCAACAACUUUGAGAUCAAAUCAGGACUCCUCAACGUGAUCGAGAACAACAAGUAUCAUGGCUUGGCUCUAGAGGAUCCAUUUGAUCACUUGGACAGGUUCGACAGCUACUGUGGGUUGUCAAAAACCAAUGGUGUGUCCGAAGAUGCCUUAAAGCUCAAGCUAUUCCCUUUCUCUUUGGGGGAUAAGGCACGUCAGUGGGAGAAGUCUCUACCCAGUGACUCCAUCACUACUUGGGAUGACUGCAAGAAAGCAUUCUUGGAGAAGUUCUUCUCUACUUCAAGAACUGCUAAGCUGAGAAACGAGAUUUCCAGCUUUCAACAGAAGAACUUGGAAGGCUUCAGUGAAGCCUGGGAGAGAUUCAAGGGCUACCAAGCUCAAUGCCCACACCAUGGCUUUUCUAAGGAGAGCUUGCUGAGCACAUUCUACCGUGGUGCUCUUCCUAAGUACAGAGCCAGACUGGAUACAGCUAGCAAUGGGUUCUUCUUGGGGAGAACUGAGGAGGAUGCAGAAGAACUGGUUGACAACAUGGUAAAGAGUGAUGCAGUCUACAGUGGAGACCACGACAGAAGCAGUAGAACUGAGGAUAAGCAAACGAGGAAGGAGUUGAAAGCUCUACAGGAUAAGAUAGACAUCCUCCUUGCUGAUAAAGCUACCCAAGAGCAGCUGCACUUUGUCGGCAACCCAAGCCAAGAGACACCAGCUAUUGUCCAUGAAGUUGAGGGUUUGGAAGGUCAGGAAGAGCUGUGUUUCAUCAACAACAAUGGUAGCUGGUACAAGAAAGAACCCAACUUUCAGUACAACAACUACCAACAGAAGUCCUAUUCCAACAACCAGCAGAGUGGCUAUCCGCCAAGAAACAACCAGCAAGGCAGCUAUCAGCCUCAGCAAAACCCCUCGUCUGGUUCCUCUGCUCCUCAAGAGAGCAGCACUGAUACCUUACUGAAGCAAAUCUUGGAGUCUCAGACUAGAAGUGAGAAGCAAGUUGGUUAUGAGUUGAAGAACCUUCAUUCCAAGAUUGAUGGGAGCUACAAUGAGCUCAACAACAAAUUCUCACACCUUGCUUCUACAGUCAGGAAUUUAGAGAAUCAAUUUGCUUCCAUGAACACUCACCAGAAUCGCCAGCAAGGAUCUCUACCUGGAAAGUCUGACCAAAAUCCCAGGAGGCCAAAGCUAUCACCCUUAGGAGUGGUAAGCAGUUACCUCCUAGAACCCUCACCAAGGAUGCUGAGAAAUUAGGUGAGGGGGUUGCCAUCAACAUAGAUGAUGAAGUGGUGAUUGUUGAUGAGAAGAUCAAUGACGAGAUCUUGGAGAAGAUAGUGGAAGCCAAAGGUAAAGGAAAGGUUGGAGAGGAGAAGAAGACAGUAAAGGAUGGUGAAGUUGUUACUCCAGCAAGUGAAAGUUCUUUUGUUCCUCCUCCCUAUGAAUCCCAAACUUCCAUUCCCUGGUAGAUUCAAGAAGCAGCUGCUAGAGAAAUACAAAGCUCUGUUUGAGAAGCAAAUGAGUGAAGCUCAGGUUGCAAUGCCCAUCAUCGAUGCUUUCAUGUUGAUUCCUCAAUACAACAAUUUCCUGAAAGAUGUUGUAGCUGCAAAGAAGAAGGAGAUGGAAAGCAUGAUGAUUCUUACCCAUGAGUGCAAUGCCAUCAUCCAGAGGCUUGAUGUUCCAAGAGAAAUUAGAGGAUCCAGGAAGCUUCACACUACCUUGUGCUCUUGGACCUAUGGUAUUUGAGAAAAGUCUCUGCGAUUUGGGAGCUAGUGUCAGCUUGAUGCCUUUGUCUGUUGCAAAGAAGCUUGGAUUCACUCAGUACAAGAAGUGUAGACUCUCUCUGGUGUUAGCUGAUCGUUCAGUGAAGUACCUGUGGGCAUCUUAGAGGACCUCCCUGUGAAGAUUGGAAGGUAUGAGAACCUACAGAUUUUGUGGUGCUUGAGAUGGGUGAGGAGGCUCAAGAUCCAUUGAUUCUAGGAAGGCCAUUCUUAGCUACAGCAGGAGCUAUUGUUAAUGUGAAGGAGGGCACGAUUGAUCUCCAUUUGGGUAAAGAGAACAUCCUCCACUUUGACAUCAAGAGGAAAAUGAGGAAACCAACUGUGUUCGGGCAAGCCUUCUACAUUGAAGAGAUGACACUCCUGCUGAUGAGCACCUUGAAGAGUUACCACCUGAGGACGACGAGGAGGGAGCAUCUCCCUCUACUCAUUCCCCAUAGAAGGUAACCCACCACACCCCUUGUAUAUACCAUUUCAUUUUUGCAUAUUAGUCUUCUUUUCGGUAUCUCUCUCUACUUGACGACACAGAGACUGUGUAACUCAAGUUUGGGGGAGGUACCAAGUAUUUGAUCAUGUUUGCUUUGAUGUUGUUUCAUUGAGUCAUGCAUUGCAUACCUAUUUGCAUAAAAAAAAAAAAAAACCAAUCAUUUAGUUUGCAUCAUUUGCAUUUUUAGGAGAGUCUAGAGCAUAUAGGUUGCAUUCACUUGCAUUGGGAGCAAUGAUUUUGAAUGCCUUGUAAAGAACACUACGUUGCACCUGAGUAGCUUUUGCACCUCUCAAAAAGACUUGUAUGUUUCGAGCCUUGAAAACUCUUCCUGAAACUUGUUGAUUGCUGAAACUCAGUCUUUGAAGCCAACUACAACCUUAUUUGAAAUGAAUGAACUUAAUGCUUCUUGCUUAUGGUCCCUUGUGUACUGAGUCAUGGCUAUACACACUGAGUUGUCACAUCUUUUAUGCCAAUCUUUUUGACAAACUCUAGUGGUAGACCACUCCCAAAACCUUUCCUUCCUUUUAAGCUUUCAUUGUUUGAUGAGUGAGGCCUUCUUCGGAAAGUCUUACAUGUGCAUAAUGUUGAGAGUAUCGGGAACGACAAUGCUUGAUCUUCAUUCUUGCUAGAUUGGACACUCUUUGUCUAGCUAUAGGUGGGGGGUGAGUGUUGUGAUUAUGAUUUGGGAGAAAUGAAAAAAAAAGGAUAGACUCUUUGUGCUUAAGUGAAUUGUUUUGGGAUAAGUAGAGAACCUCUAGCUCAAGUUUUGAAAAGUCUUGGCCCCCAACCUAAAAAAAAAAGGAAAAAGAAAAACGAAAAAAAAAAGAGAAAGAAAAAAAGAAAAAGAAAAGAAAAAGGGGGCUAGCAAAGUUGUUAGGAGCUAAGAAAUGUUUUGAGGUUGUGAAAAAUCCCUUGUAGAUUUCAAAGAGAAGGAGUUAAAGUUCUUAGGAUCUUUUGGUGAGAGAUGUGAGUAGGGUUUGACAUUGGGAAUGAUUGUGUGAUUUGUAUGUUUGGGAAAAGGGUAGAACAAUGGAGAUUGAGCAUUGUAUGCAUGAGUUGGUCCCUUUCUUAGAUAUAUUAUGUGCAAUGUCAAGGCUACUUGUUUUGAGAGUAAACCACCUUAAAGAUCAUAUGUUUUGAACCUCUUGAAUCACUUGAAUAAAAGCCUUCCCUUACCCAACCAAAUGACUUGGACCAACUGACCAUUUGCAAGAAUUCACCUGAUGUUUUGUGCUUAAUGAAUGUGAGAGUUGGUUGAUUUGAAUGUGUGGAUGCUUGAUGAUGAGUGUAAGAACAAAAAGAGUUAAGAUAGGCCUAGAGAAGCUAGAGUGUAAUAAGAGAGUGUGCUAGUUGUGUUUCUUUUGGCUAUGUGCUCCCACCUUCAACCUCUCUUCCUAUGAGUUCUAGAAAGUUCACUUGUGGACAAGUAAAAGAACAAGUUUGGGGGAGUUGAUAUCUUGCAUAUUUGCAUUGUUUUAUCCAUUCAUCCAUGAGCAUUUUCAUCAUAUAGAUUAGGAUUCAGACAUGUUUAGGUUGCAUUUUGCAUACAUGAGUCUCUAUUAGGUACUGGAGUACCACAUGAGGUUAUUUGGAGCUCAAAAGAGGUGAAAAGGUGACCAUUGGACGAACCGAGCAUGGGAGCGACCUCCCGGAGCGACAUCACGAAGUCGCUGUGUCCCGCUUCUCAGAGCGACUUUCCUAAAGCGACGCCAUGAAGUCGCUCGCGUUCUCAUUACUCCGAACAGUCUUAGAUGACCCUGGAGCGACCUCUCAGAGCGACCUACUAAGGUCGCUCCCGAUCCAGAGCGACCCGUUGG